GAUUCUAUGGUUUAAUGGUUAGCACUCUGGACUUUGAAUCCAGUGAUCCGAGUUCAAAUCUCGUUAGAACCU
rnacentral:tRNA from 1 species